rnacentral:snRNA from 1 species
AUACUUACCUGGCAGGGGACACACCAUGAUCAGGAAGGUGGUUUUCCCAGGGCAAGGCUCAUCCAUUGCACUCCGGGUGUGCUGACCCCUGCGAUUUCCCAACUGUGGGAAACUCGACUGCAUAAUUUGUGGCGGUGGGGGACUGCGUGGGAGCUCUCCCCCG